GUGGGGAAUCUUCCGCAAUGGACGAAAGUCUGACGGAGCAACGCCGCGUGAGUGAUGAAGGUCUUCGGAUUGUAAAGCUCUGUUAAUCGGGACGAAAGAGCCUAGUGUGAAUAAUGCUAGGAAGUGACGGUACCGGAAUAGAAAGCCACGGCUAACUACGUGCCAGCAGCCGCGGUAAUACGUAGGUGGCAAGCGUUGUCCGGAAUUAUUGGGCGUAAAGCGCGCGCAGGCGGAUCUGCCAGUCUGUCUUAAAAGUUCGGGGCUUAAACCCGUGAUGGGAUGGAAACUACAGAUCUAGAGUAUCGGAGAGGAAAGUGGAAUUCCUAGUGUAGCGGUGAAAUGCGUAGAUAUUAGGAAGAACACCAGUGGCGAAGGCGACUUUCUGGACGAAAACUGACGCUGAGGCGCGAAAGCCAGGGGAGCGAACGGGAUUAGAAACCCGGGUAGUCC
rnacentral:rRNA from 1 species